rnacentral:sRNA from 1 species
UAUUUAGAGGUAAAUUUUGGUGGAGGG